AAAAAAAAACAUAGUGAUAAAGAACUUUCCACAUGUAUUAUUAACAAAAAUUAACACAAAGCCACAUAGAGAGAUAGAAAAAAAAAAUGGUGCCUAAUGCUACAACACCAAUCAUUAAUGGAGGCAUAAGGUUCUCAGAAUUUCAUAAUUCAGCUGUUAGAAAUCAUCGCAUGGAAAUUUUCUGAUGAUGCCAGGCCCAGUGAUACAUCAUCUUAACAGAAAAGAAUUCGAUUUCCAGAAUAUCAUCAUAUGUAUAUCCAGCUUCCUCAAAGAGCUCGUUUGCCUUCAAUUUCUUCCUUAUGAUCCAGGAUGCAUUCUUAGGCUGAACUUCCCAUAUUGGUUUCCUCUUUAUGUAGUAUAUAUGUAUCCAUUGGAUCCAUAACUUGUCCUUUUUGUGGCAAAGUUUUCAGUAAUGCUUGCUAAUAAUAGCUGCCUUGUUCCAAAUGUCAAUACCCACUAUAUUCAGCCCCCUAGCAGUUUGUGGCCAAGAGAUUUUGUGCCAGGCAAGAGGGGCCUUCUUUGUGUUUUCUGUAUUCCCAGCCCAUAGAAACUUGCUGCACACAACCUCAAUCAUAUGUAUUAUCUCUUUGCUAGAACAAAGAUUGUGCCCAAAAAGUUUGAAAGGCAAACAAUACACUCUUUAUCAAUUGCA